UUUGACAAGUGCGGCUCGUGUCAGCCAGCGAGCUCAUAAGCCCGGGAAACACAAAGACACGGGUCAAUUCAUUUCUCAUUAAGGCUUUCAAUGGCUGCACGUCUCUGCGAUAAUAAGGAGCACUUUGAAGACGUGCGGCCUUUUCAGUGCGCAACCAGACUCCGGCAGGUACUGAAGGGAACUCGGCGCCUCGCCGUCGACAGGCUACUUUACAAAAUCUAAUCUGACUUUCACUUUCGGCGGCCUCCUCUCGUGCCGUCUCCUCGGGUCUGUCGGUACACAAAGCUCGACACCGACAACACGCGCCGUCCCACUGGCACAGCGCCGCAUGACCUUCCAGUUCACCUGCACGCGGCGCAGAAACCUCCGGGGAACGGCGCCUUUCUCCUUUGCCUGCACGCGCCACUCAGCAUUGCCGAAACUCUGUGGAAAAACCUACUUUUUCAAACGCAAACCAUCGUAAUCAUCUCCUCCACCAACGCAACCCAUGCAGCCAUCACGGCCUCGCAGUGUGUAUAAUGAAACAUUCCCUUAAGGAGGGGUAAAAGGAUGAUAAUGAUCCAUAUCACCGGAGUGAUGUCUGGGAGAGUUUGCUGGUCCACACUGGAGGAACAUGCGGCAUCAUGCGGGUGCACCACAGGGACUCACCUGCUCGCGGCAGAUCCACACUCUGGUUGUCCGACUUCUCCUGCAUCAGCCGGCGAGUCCAUCGCAGCUCCCCCCCGUUCACGGCCGGGCGAACGCCAGAAGACUCCGUCUCUGUUAGAAAACAACGGCGGCCUUUUAAGUGCGAAAGCGACUUCACGCAGUCCAAGACCUCCCCCAUCUGUGCUGCGAUUUAGGGAAAGACGAGACGCCGGUCUCAUGUUUCGGGCUCUGGGAGUCGGCAGCAGGCUCAGUUAUUCAUUCCAUGCUGCCAUCAGCUGUCCUCCGCCAUCAGCACUGAACUCUUUAUGGUGUGGAUUUCAACUGUGCGUCUCAUCCCUUAGCAGCUAUUCUCUGCGUGAGCUUCAGUUCUUUACUACGCCGCCAGCAGAAACAAGACAUCUGACCCCUUCAAUAACACAUCGACUGGAAAGACCGGCUUCCUCAGGUGUUGCCCUAAACACCACCUCCACAGGGCCGGACUGCACUCUGCGUUAGUAAAUGACUCAGGCCGUAAAGUCCUCUACGGUGGCGACGCAGAUGAACACUGCGGCCUCUGAAGCCAGAGUCGAUGGGUAUCACCUUAUAGGAAAUAUCACAUGACAACCAGCGUGCCUACAGAGAAUAAUCCCCCAACUUUGCUCCCUCUCAGCUCUGCGCAUCAUUUCAGUCUCACCUGGUGCCUGGAUGACCUGGACGAGCCACAUGACCGCGACCAGCCCGACUGCACAGCAGCAGAACCGCUGGAAGGGCCGCCGGUGCCUCGCUGCUGCUCUCAUUCCUCACGCGGACGCAUUUUCCACCAAAAACAUCUGUUGCUCGCUCGCUGACACUUGUUUCGCACUUUUUCUCGCCCCCCCUGCAAACAAACAGCUCCAGCAGCGGGCAGCAAACGACAAGCCUGUGCCAAGUUGUGUCUAAAAACAAAAACAAAAAACAAUAUAAGCAGAAAUCCCCCUAAAAUCACAAGCCCGGUUCCCCCCCCCACCACCUCCUCCCGCCGCCCCGCCGCCCUCC
ensembl:lncRNA